rnacentral:misc_RNA from 1 species
GCAAACUUGGUCAUUUAGAGGAAGUAAAAGUCGUAACAAGGUUUCCGUAGGUGAACCUGCGGAAGGAUCAUUAUUAUUUGGGUAGAGUCUAACUAUUACAAUAGUGGAAUUCGCCCAAAUAUUCUUUUUUAAGGAGCAAGAUACUUUUAUAUUUAAAACCCCACUCUUUGAACGUAUAAAAUUUUUUAUGUAUCAUAAAUGAUAAAAUAAAGAUCACUUUCAACAACGGAUCUCUUGGCUCUCGCAUCGAUGAAGAACGCAGC